CUACCUGCCUCCAUGCAUACCUGAGGGCAGAGGGCUCUGACCUGCCUACCCCAUCCCCACCUACACUGGAUCCUUCUGACAACCCGUGAGCCUGGUACAGUGCACAGGACCCCCGUUUUACUACAGAGAUCCAAGAGACCACUCUGACCCCAUCUACACUGGGGCUGUGUUAUUGAUGAAAAGUGGAGAGAGCCCCUUACUAUAACCACUCAGACCCUCCAAACAUCUGCUACUGAGAAGAAGGGGGUGGAGACCCGAAUGAUUGACCUGCCUGUCUGCACUAACCCACCGCUCAGACGCCAGAGCCUCUUGUCUCUGGUUCACGUGGAAGUGAGUGAGUUGGUGCUGGGGGAGAAGUAUUUCCCCUCUGCGUUGGUGUCUUUUUACCCUGUGAAACGCCUGCCUUCCAUCCCGAGAGGAAAGAAAACGAUGACAACUUGUGUUCUGGUGGAAGAUUUAGCAGCUACUACAAAACAGAGGUUUGAAAACCUAUUUUGCAGCUCUCAAAUUUCAAUUUAGAUGACUUGACUUUGAGGGCCCAGUGUAGAUGUGAGGGCUGAGUAGAGAAAGCCCGCAGCCCCCUCUCCCCAGGAGCUUACCCCUGCCUCGGGGCUCCCUUUUUGUCUCUCUUGCUGUGUUAUGAAAGGAGAGCAUCUGGGAAUACUCAAAGGCUGGCUUCUGCCUGUGUGUCCCACCCCAUCUCAAGGUGGCUAGUGCUGCUGAGGGACUCCGGCCUGAGGAAGGAAGCGCCCGUGGCCUGGGGCAGAGCCGUGCAGUUGCAUGGCUUUCCUGCCGCUCAAGUCACUGAGGGCUGUUCUUGGUACUGUCUAGAAAAGUUGCUUGCAUCCCUGGAGUCACAGGAAUCUCAUAACCCAGCCUAUGCCCCCAGGCCCCUGCCGUGUCAGUAGAGCCUGCUGAACUUCCUGGGCUAGCGAGACCAGCUGACAGCCACAGUGCUCAAAAGUCAGGGUCUAACCCCGCCAGACUGGCGUCUCUGUAGGAUUCCCUGUCUUUGAAAGGAUACUGGAAGGGCAGUUGUUUUUCUAAACUUACUCCGAACUCUGAGCCACUGCACCUGGCCUUAAUAUCAUUUUAAAAACUAAACACGCUGGCGCGGUGCCUCCCACCUGUAAUCCCAGCACUUCGGGAGGCCAAGGUGGGUGAAUCAUGAGGUCAGGCGUUUGAGACCAGCCUGGGCAGCAUGGUGAAACCCCAUCCCUAUUAAAAAUACAAAAAUUAGCUGGGCGUCGUGGCGGGCCCCUGUAAUACCAGCUACUCAGGAGGCCGAGGCAGGAGAAUCGCUUGAACCUGGGAGGCAGAGGUUAUGGUGAGCAGAGAUCGCGCCACUGCACUCCAGCCUGGGUGAUAGAGCAAGACUCUGUCUCAAAACAAACCAUAUUUAAUUGACUUGGUCUCUUAUAUGGGCUUGUUCUAUUUAAUUUUCUGAGUAAACACAAGGCUUGGCUUUGUUACCCAAAAAACAUGGGCAGCUCUUAGGAAGCUACAUCCUCCAGACUCCUGUCACAGUGAAUUGUUGUCUUUCAGUGUUUAAAAGCAAUAAAGACAAAGUCAAAUCAAACAUGUAACAACUGCUCCCAUUCAGUGGCCAUUGGAGAUGUUUAUUAC
rnacentral:lncRNA from 1 species